rnacentral:rRNA from 1 species
GAUGAACGCUGGCGGCGUGCCUAAUACAUGCAAGUCGAGCGAACGGACGAGAAGCUUGCUUCUCUGAUGUUAGCGGCGGACGGGUGAGUAACACGUGGAUAACCUACCUAUAAGACUGGGAUAACUUCGGGAAACCGGAGCUAAUACCGGAUAAUAUUUUGAACCGCAUGGUUCAAAAGUGAAAGACGGUCUUGCUGUCACUUAUAGAUGGAUCCGCGCUGCAUUAGCUAGUUGGUAAGGUAACGGCUUACCAAGGCAACGAUGCAUAGCCGACCUGAGAGGGUGAUCGGCCACACUGGAACUGAGACACGGUCCAGACUCCUACGGGAGGCAGCAGGAGGGAAUCUUCCGCAAUGGGCGAAAGCCUGACGGAGCAACGCCGCGUGAGUGAUGAAGGUCUUCGGAUCGUAAAACUCUGUUAUUAGGGAAGAACAUAUGUGUAAGUAACUGUGCACAUCUUGACGGUACCGAAUCAGAAAGCCACGGCUAACUACGU